GCUUAGUCAAUACAUGCUCAAACUAAGAAAACUCUGAAUAUAAGAAAUUGAAUAUGUAAAUGUAUCAAAGCCGCAUGAGAGAACCUUUUGAAAUAAGAACUUGAGCAUUGUGGCCUAAGCCAAGAUAAGUGGUUUCAUACGAAUUUGAAUGCAUUAAACAUAACUGAAAGCAGAAGGAGAAACUACUGAAGAAGCCCG